rnacentral:lncRNA from 10 species
GAAAAGGUGCUUACUUCAGCAGCAUAUAUACUAAAAAUUGGAAUGAUACAGAGCAAAUUAGCAUGGCCCCUGUGCAAGGAUGACAUGCAAAUUUGUGAAGCAAUUAAAUUUAAAGAUAAAAACAAAGAGUGGAGAAAAGAGUGCUUCAGACUGCAGGUAAACGCUGGUCAAAGGCCAGAGAACAAGAAAGUAUGGUACGUCAGAAAACCAAAAGUAUUUUCUUUUUUUUUUUCUGAGAUAGAGUCUUGCUCUGUCACUCAGGCUGGAGUGCAAUGGCACAAUCUCGGCUCACUGCAACCUC